rnacentral:misc_RNA from 1 species
CUAUUCUCUCACUUAUAUCUUAAAACACAUUACAAGUGCCACAAUGUCUGAAAAACAAGGCACUAGUCCCCGAAAUCAAACAGCUAGAAAUGGAGGAGGCACAAACAUUACAUGAUAUUACACAUAUAAAUACAUUUAUACGUUUAAAUUCCAGUAAGCACCAUAGCAGAUGCUUUAAAACUUAAUUUUCCUAUAUCUAAAAUACAAUUACUGUACACUAAUCAAGCACAACUUAUCUCUCUUUGCUUAGAAACCUUCUCCAAGUUUUCAGAAACUGCUGCAGUUAGAUUCGGAUCCUCAAACCCAAU